rnacentral:tRNA from 1 species
UCCCUGGUAGCUCAGUUGGUAAAGAAUCUGCCUGCAGUGCAGAAGACCCAGGUUCAAUCCCUGGAUUGGGAA